GAUGAACGCUAGCUACAGGCUUAACACAUGCAAGUCGAGGGGCAGCGGGAUUGAAGCUUGCUUCAAUUGCCGGCGACCGGCGCACGGGUGAGUAACGCGUAUCCAACCUUCCGCUUACUCGGAGAUAGCCUUUCGAAAGAAAGAUUAAUACCCGAUGGUAUCUUAAGCACGCAUGAGAUUAAGAUUAAAGAUUUAUCGGUAAGCGAUGGGGAUGCGUUCCAUUAGGCAGUUGGCGGGGUAACGGCCCACCAAACCUACGAUGGAUAGGGGUUCUGAGAGGAAGGUCCCCCACAUUGGAACUGAGACACGGUCCAAACUCCUACGGGAGGCAGCAGUGAGGAAUAUUGGUCAAUGGGCGAGAGCCUGAACCAGCCAAGUAGCGUGAAGGAUGACGGCCCUACGGGUUGUAAACUUCUUUUGUGCGGGAAUAAAGGAACCUACGUGUAGGUUUUUGCAUGUACCGUAACGAAUAAGCAUCGGCUAACUCCGUGCCAGCAGCCGCGGUAAUACGGAGGAUGCGAGCGUUAUCCGGAUUUAUUGGGUUUAAAGGGAGCGUAGACGGGUUUUUAAGUCAGCUGUGAAAGUUUGGGGCUCAACCUUAAAAUAGCAGUUGAAACUGGAGACCUUGAGUACGGUUGAGGCAGGCGGAAUUCGUGGUGUAGCGGUGAAAUGCUUAGAUAUCACGAAGAACCCCGAUUGCGAAGGCAGCCUGCUAAGCCGCCACUGACGUUGAGGCUCGAAAGUGCGGGUAUCAAACAGG
rnacentral:rRNA from 1 species